AAUGAGCCACGGAUCGAAGAUCAUUCUUCUGUCUCCAAGUUUGAUGUCCAUGCAUGCAUGAGUUACUAGAUCAACAGGUUAGAGGAGAGAAAUGAUGUUGAAUCUCUGGCAACAACAACGAAGUCAUAAAUAUUUAUUCCGCUUCAUGAACAACGUCAUAGGCUGGUUCUGGAAGAAGGACAUGUAAACUCCAGUGGGACUGACAAUGUGGAAACUACAAGUUUUGAGAGUUUUACAACAGACACCCUGUGAGGUAAGUUCAUGAGGAUUCAGACAAAAGGUAAGUUCGACGUUGUAGAGCGAUGCCAAUGAAGUUGUAGACAGGGUGCCGGCAUUUUGCACCUGUUUUGCCCUGGC